CAUGAUUUUUAAAUAGCCGCAGUAUUUUGACUGUGCAAAGGUAGCAUAAUCAUUAGUUUCUUAAUUAGAAGCUGGAAUGAAUGGUUCGAUGAGAAAUUGACUGUCUCAUUUUAAUUGAAUUAGAACUUAAAUUUUAAGUGAAAAUGCUUAAAUGUUUUAUGAGGACGAGAAGACCCCAUAGAGUUUUAUUUUAAAUUUUUUAGUUUUAUGUAAGAUUUAAUUUGAAUUUAUUAAAUUUGGAAUUUUGUUGGGGUGAUGUGAAAAUUAGAAAAACUUUUUAUUUUAUUAUACAAUAAUUAUUGAAUUGAUGAUCCUGAAUUUUGGAUUAUAAGAUUUAAUUACCUUAGGGAUAACAGCGUAAUUUUUUUUGAAAGUUCUUAUUGAAAAAGAAGUUUGCGACCUCGAUGUUGGAUUAAAAUUUAUUUAUGGUGCAGUAGCUAUAAAAUUA
rnacentral:rRNA from 1 species